rnacentral:rRNA from 1 species
CGCCUGGGGAGUACGAUCGCAAGAUUAAAACUCAAAGGAAUUGACGGGGCCCCGCACAAGCAACGGAGCAUGCGGCUUAAUUCGACGCAACGCGAAGAACCUUACCAAGGCUUGACAUAUACAGGAAUAUGGCAGAGAUGUCAUAGCCGCAAGGUCUGUAUACAGGUGGUGCAUGGUUGUCGUCAGCUCGUGUCGUGAGAUGUUGGGUUAAGUCCCGCAACGAGCGCAACCCUCGUUCUGUGUUGCCAGCAUUCAGUUGGGGACUCACAGGAGACUGCCGGGGUUAACUCGGAGGAAGGUGGGGAUGACGUCAAAUCAUCAUGCCCCUUAUGUCUUGGGCUGCACGCAUGCUACAAUGGCUGGUACAAACGGCUGCAAUACCGCAAGGUGGAGCGAAUCCGAGAAAGCCAGUCUCAGUUCGGAUUGGGGUCUGCAACUCGACCCCAUGAAGUCGGAGUUGCUAGUAAUCGUAGAUCAGCAACGCUACGGUGAAUACGUUCCCGGG